AUAUUUUAACUUUUUUAAGACUUUAUUGAAUAAAAAGCGAGUCAACAUGCUAUAUAACAUUACAAAAGCCAUGGUAAUUGUGACACACAUCUAUUAAUUAAUUAAUUGAUUAAAUAAUCCUAUUUCAUCUUUUAAUGUCAAUGCAGUGCUGACUGUGUUGUCACGGUGCUAAAGACACAUUCCCAUGUCUUGGUCGUAUGCAGUUAAGAAAAUGACUUUAAAAAAGUAAUUAUUUCCAGUUACUUGAAUUACUAACAUAAUUAUUCUCUAAUUAUCUAAUUAAUUACAAGGGAACGUAAUUCAUGCGUUACUUUUUCUUUAAUUUUGAGUGUGUACCUGUAAAAGUCGGUGUAUGUUGCCAAGUGAAGCAUGAAUGGAAUGUACUGAAUGUUUUCACUCUGGGUAUUAUAGGAUUAUUAUUGUUGAUGAUUGUCACUUUAUUUAAUGUUCAUUAUUUCCUCAUAGUACCUACUCAGUGGCCUAGUGCUUAGAGUGUCUGCCCUGAGAUCGGUAGGUUGUGAGUUCAAACCCCGGCCGAGUCAUACCAAAGACUAUAAAAAUGGGACCCAUUACCUCCCUGCUUGGCACUCAGAAUCAAGGGUUGGAAUUGGGGGUUAAAUCACCAAAAAUGAUUCCCGGGCGCAGCACCGCUGCUGCCCACUGCUCCCCUCACCUCCCAGGAGGUGAUCAAGGGGAUGGGUCAAAUGCAGAGGACAAAUUUCACCACACCUAGUGUGUGUGUGACAAUCAUUGGUACUUUAACUUUAAAUUAUUAGUAUUGGCAUGCGCGCUGGUGUGUGUGUGUGUUCUGGCAAUGCUUACUUAUUGGGGACAUCGCUCUGUUUACAAAGUCACUUUAGGGGACCUUUGACGUUAUGGGGACAAAAAAACAGGUCUCCUAAAGGGAAACCUUUUUGAAUAAUAGUCAGAUCGAUUCUGAAGAUGCCUAAGUGAUUUUUAAGCCCCUUAAUCGGGCUGCAGCUGGUACUGCACUGGCUGGUCCUUCAUUGAUUACUUUAACAAUUAACACCUGGCGCGCCACACAGAGGCAGCGUGAGCGCAGGAGUUCUACAUUUCGGACGUCGAGACACGGAAGCAAGUCGUUUAACCUAAAAGGUAAGAACAUAUUUCUUAUAAAUGGAGGUUAUUGACUAUCAUUUGUAAAAGAUUAAUGUGUUUAUGACCAAGUUAAGCCAACAAAUUAGCAGCGAAGCAAACCUUUUCCAACGGGUGCAUUUAAUUAAGAACAUGAGCCUUGCUCAAAAAAAAGCUUGUGAAUCACUUUGUGUUUUUGAUUUUUUGGCAUUUGGACUGGUUUAUAGUCAUAGUAGCUCUAAUUUCAUGCUAAUUGGUUGUCUAUAAGGACUUUUAAGAAGUUAUAUGUAUAGUUAUGAUGGGCAUUGGAGAUUAAGGACAUUUUAAAAACCUCACAUUGAUUUUGUUUCACACAUUUUAGAUGAAAGACAUAUGUACAGUAGACCACAUGGACUUGGACAUAAACAGCAUAACACCUGAUGUAACUGUAACAUAGGAAUACUGCUCAAGUCAGGAAACAAUUCACAAUGUAGUUGUUCGCCCUCCCAUUACAAAACAUGGAAAAAGAGUUUACAACAAAAGACAUUAUUUUUGUAUUGCAGUAAGCCUUAUGCCAAGCUGGCACAACUUCUAAAAAGUGCACACAAAAACAAAUUGGAAGUAGCCACAGCUCUUAGCUUUCCAACGAGUUCCAUGGAGAGAAGGAAGCAGCUAAAGAUUAUUCGUAAUAAAGGGAACUACGCUCACAAUGCUGCUAUUAUGGAGUUAGGGAAGGGUGAACUAGUGCCAUUCAAACGACCACCUAAUGAAGCUAAAGGAAAUGAUGUCAUGCACUGUGCACAUUGCCAAUGACUGUUUACCAGAAAGGUACUGUGGAGACACAUGCGAAGUUGCCCACUCAAACCUUCAUCAGUCACCCGAACACCAGGAAAGAACCGUGUCCAGUCUCUCUGCAUAUAUACUGGGCCUGUGCCUUCAAGUGUAUCCAAACAACUGUGGGGAGUUAUAAGUGUCAUUAUUCCUGAUCCAAUCACAGAAAUAAUAAAAAAUGACCAUUUCAUCACAGAUGUUGGGCAGCACCUGUUGAACAAAAGUGGUAUGUCAGCAAAAAAUCAACAAUGUGUCAGAGAGAAGAUGCGGGAAUUAGGAAGACUGAUUCAUAAUGCCAGGAGAGUAACUACCUUGAAAAAAAUGGAGGAUUUUGUGAAUCCUAAGAACUACUUGGAGAUGGUCAAAGCUGUCAAAUGUACUUGUGGCUAUGAUAGUGACACUAACAAAUUCUGCAUUCCAUCACUGGCAACUAAACUUUGGAAUUCCCUGGUUAAAGUCAGCAAACUUUUGAAAGCACAAGGUUUGAUAAACAAAAAUGAAGAUUUGGUCAGGAAUGCCACUCAGUUCCAAGAUGUCCAUCGUGAGAAGUGGAACGAGUUGAUCUCUGCAACAGCCCUGAGGAAUAUAGCCGAAGAAAAAUGGAAUGUACCACAACUUAUGCCCUUCACUGAGGAUGUUCAAAAAAUGCAUCAGUUUCUCAGUCAAAUGCAUGAUGAGUGCAGCAGUGCGCUAUCUGAAAAUUCUUCCACAAAGGCCUGGUCACACCUGACAAAAGUAUGUUUGACACAGAUCAUCCUUUUUAACAGACAAAGAGAAGGAGAGGUAGCAGCCCCUGUUUUUUUUGUCAAGAGACACAACUGAUCCUCCCGAGGAUGUUGAUUGGGCUCUCUCUGAAGUGGGGAAAAAACUCUGCAGACAUUUUUCAAGGGUUGUCAUCAGGGGAAAACGAGGCAGAACUGUUCCUAUUCUCUUGACUCCAAAAAUUGUGUGUGCAUUAGAACUUCUCAUCAAGUACAGGGAAACGUGUGGGGUUCUCAAAGACAACACUUACCUGUUUGCAAGACCCACAGCGAUGACACAUUUCGGAGGUUCUGACUGCAUACGAGACUAUGCAAAAACAUGUCAUGCAAAGUGUCCUGUUUCCCUUACAUCCACGAAACUAUGAAAACAUGCUGCCACCCUUUCAACUGUGCUAAACAUGACAAAACACAGAGAUGGACCAGCUGGCCAACUUUCUUGGCCAUGAUAUUAGAAUCCAUCGUGAGUUCUAUAGACUUCCGGAAAAGACAUUGCAGCUGGCAAAAAUCAGCAAAGUUUUGAUGGCACUCGAGCAAGGUCGAUUAUCUGAGUUCCAUGGAAAAACUUGGAUGAAAUCACAAUUGGUCCAAAUGAUUGUGUUGUGCAAACUGAAGAGGAACAUAUCACCGGAGAGGAAGGACACUAUCCAUGUCCUGACAAUGAGGUGGCAUUACCAACCCCUGAUGAUGAACACAUCCCGCCACCCGAGAGACUGACAACACCUUUAAAAGCAUGGAUGCAUCAUCACGACAUUGUGCAGUGAGACAUUCUUCCAAUGGUAAAGCUGCCCAGAAAAGGCGACCCUGGACACAGAAAGAGGUGAAGGCUGUCGAGAAGCACAUAAAGCGAUUCAUCCCUUCUGGUAUUGUACCAGGAAAGAGUGACUGUUUAAAAUGUUUGAGGGACGAACCGGAAGCUCUCCAAAACCGGAAAUGGCAAGCAUUAAAGUUCUAUGUGUACAACCGCAUUACGGCCUACAAAAGGAGAUUGCAGCUAAAAUAGUAGAU